rnacentral:rRNA from 1 species
GACGAACGCUGGCGGCGUGCUUAACACAUGCAAGUCGAACGGAAAGGCCCUGCUUUUGUGGGGUGCUCGAGUGGCGAACGGGUGAGUAACACGUGAGUAACCUGCCCUUGACUUUGGGAUAACUUCAGGAAACUGGGGCUAAUACCGGAUAGGAGCUCCUGCUGCAUGGUGGGGGUUGGAAAGUUUCGGCGGUUGGGGAUGGACUCGCGGCUUAUCAGCUUGUUGGUGGGGUAGUGGCUUACCAAGGCUUUGACGGGUAGCCGGCCUGAGAGGGUGACCGGCCACAUUGGGACGGAGAUACGGCCCAGACUCCUACGGGAGGCAGCAGUGGGGAAUAUUGCAUAAUGGGCGGAAGCCUGAUGCAGCAACGCCGCGUGCGGGAUGACGGCCUUCGGGUUGUAAACCGCUUUCGCCUGUGACGAAGCGUGAGUGACGGUAAUGGGUAAAGAAGCACCGGCUAACUACGUG